CUCAGGGCAGAGAGCAUGGAGCCACAGCUGGGCAGUCCGAUUUGCCUUACAGGGCCUGUGUCAUCUGCUUUUUGAGGAAUUCAGGGGGUAAGGAGCUGGGGCUGCCAACUCCAGUACAGUAGGAAGAAACUGAACUUACAGGCAUUAAGAAAUAUGACCAAAGACAUAGAGGGCUGGGACUCACACUCGGACACAAGACUCUGAUGGCAAGGGCACACUCUCAAUUGCUGGGACAGCUGCCUCUUCGGGCCUGGAGCUAGAAGAUGGGAGGGAUGACUACAGAGCAGUGUUUUUGGAUAUGGAAGUUUUUCGGGAGGAGCUUACAGGACCUACAGGGAAGGAGGAAGGUCUUUCAGCGUUGUUGCUGCUAAAACAUGCCUAUGGAAUCCUAGGAGUCUGCGCAGGAGGCGGGGGGACUAACCUUUGUGCCUUUCCUCCUGCGAUUUCACGGGGGAGCCUUCCACCCGGAUGACUGCACAUGCUCCUGGCCACGACUGUGGAGGAAUUGCCCUUUGGAUGGAGCACGUUCAAGAACUGUGUGAAAGCACCGAGUUCCUGCAUUCCCCUCUGCCCGUGCUCUUUUGCAGGGCUGGGAUGCACCCACACAGCAGCCUGCAACUGGGGUCCAGAAGCCCCAUGCUUCGGUGUUGCAGUGGAAUGCUGGGGUGAAGAAUCUCCACCACUGAUGUCCUUGCACCAUCAUCUAUCUGCGUGCUGCAGACUACCGAAUGAAAUGCACUUUGGACCACACAGGAGCAUCCUUCAUCCCUGUAUUGACUUUGUUUCUCAGGUUAGGAACAAGGAUUCAGGAGAAAUCAACCAGCAAGGCAGGGACUAGAAAGCAAGG